rnacentral:rRNA from 1 species
AACGAACGCUGGCGGCAGGCCUAACACAUGCAAGUCGAGCGAGGACUUCGGUUCUAGCGGCGGACGGGUGAGUAACGCGGGGGAAUGUGCCCUUCUCUACGGAAUAGCCCUGGGAAACUGGGAGUAAUACCGUAUACGCUCUUUUGGGGAAAGAUCUAUCGGAGAAGGAUCAGCCCGCGUUGGAUUAGGCAGUUGGUGGGGUAAUGGCCUACCAAGCCGACGAUCCAUAGCUGGUUUGAGAGGAUGAUCAGCCACACUGGGACUGAGACACGGCCCAGACUCCUACGGGAGGCAGCAGUGGGGAAUCUUAGACGAUGGGGGCAACCCUGAUCUAGCCAUGCCGCGUGAGUGAUGAAGGCCUUAGGGUUGUAAAGCUCUUUCAGCUGGGAAGAUAAUGACGGUACCAGCAGAAGAAGCCCCGGCUAACUCCGUG